rnacentral:rRNA from 1 species
UGGGGAAUUUUGGACAAUGGGCGAAAGCCUGAUCCAGCAAUGCCGCGUGUGUGAAGAAGGCCUUCGGGUUGUAAAGCACUUUUGUCCGGAAAGAAAUCCUUGGCUCUAAUACAGUCGGGGGAUGACGGUACCGGAAGAAUAAGCACCGGCUAACUACGUGCCAGCAGCCGCGGUAAUACGUAGGGUGCAAGCGUUAAUCGGAAUUACUGGGCGUAAAGCGUGCGCAGGCGGUUUGCUAAGACCGAUGUGAAAUCCCCGGGCUCAACCUGGGAACUGCAUUGGUGACUGGCAGGCUAGAGUAUGGCAGAGGGGGGUAGAAUUCCACGUGUAGCAGUGAAAUGCGUAGAGGUGUGGAGGAAUACCGAUGGCGAAGGCAGCCCCCUGGGCCAAUACUGACGCUCAUGCACGAAAGCGUGGGGAGCAAACAGGAUUAGAUACCCUGGUAGUCCACGCCCUAAACGAUGUCAACUAGUUGUUGGGGAUUCAUUUCCUUAGUAACGUAGCUAACGCGUGAAGUUGACCGCCUGGGGAGUACGGUCGCAAGAUUAAAACUC